UGUCUUCUUCCUGACAUAUUUCCAGUUUGCGGAGACAUCCACGGGCAGUUCUUUGACCUAAUGAAGCUGUUUGAAGUAGGAGGAUCACCAGCAUCCACACGCUACCUUUUCCUUGGGGACUACGUAGACAGAGGGUAUUUCAGUAUUGAAUGUGUGCUCUACUUGUGGGCCUUAAAGAUCCUAUACCCCAAAACACUGUUUUUGCUGCGUGGGAAUCACGAAUGUCGACAUCUAACAGAGUAUUUCACAUUUAAGCAGGAAUGUAAAAUUAAGUAUUCAGAGAGGGUGUAUGACGCAUGUAUGGACGCCUUCGACUGCCUUCCCCUGGCUGCUCUUAUGAACCAGCAGUUCCUGUGUGUACACGGAGGACUGUCUCCAGAAAUCACAAAUCUUGACGACAUCAGGAAACUAGACAGAUUCAAAGAGCCGCCAGCUUACGGGCCGAUGUGCGAUCUGCUGUGGUCGGACCCGCUGGAGGACUUUGGGAACGAGAAGAGCCAGGAGCACUUCACACACAACACAGUGAGAGGCUGCUCCUAUUUCUACAGCUACCCUGCAGUCUGCGACUUUCUACAACACAAUAACUUAUUAUCUAUCAUCCGGGCCCAUGAAGCACAGGACGCCGGAUACCGCAUGUACAGAAAGAGUCAGACCACUGGCUUCCCGUCCCUUAUCACCAUUUUCUCAGCUCCAAACUAUCUAGACGUCUACAACAACAAAGCGGCUGUGCUGAAGUACGAGAACAACGUGAUGAACAUCAGACAGUUCAACUGCUCACCUCAUCCCUACUGGCUGCCCAACUUCAUGGACGUUUUCACCUGGUCUCUGCCGUUUGUCGGGGAGAAAGUGACUGAGAUGCUUGUGAACGUGUUGAGCAUUUGUUCCAACGACGAGCUGACGACUGACGAAGAGCUAGACGGACAGCUAAUAUAUCCCCCCAAAAAAGGUGCCACGGCUUCUGCCAGAAAGGAGGUCAUCCGCAACAAGAUCCGUGCCAUUGGGAAGAUGGCCCGGGUGUUCUCUGUGCUCAGAGAGGAGAGUGAGAGCGUGCUCACGCUGAAGGGGCUGACCCCGACUGGCAUGCUGCCGAGCGGAGUGCUGUCCGGUGGCAAAGAGAAGCUGCAGAACGGUACAUUCGGUUGUUGUGCAAGUAUUUCGCUGUGUUUUGUCUUCAGAUGUUCUGUCUUUAGAUUUAUGUUCACUCUCGGUUUCACAAACCUCUGGAGGUUUUAAGAAGCUUUAUGUAUAAGAAAUCAAUACUAAAAUUUUAAGAUUAUCUUCUAUAGAUGCAGCAAAAAUUACCUCGUUCUCAACUUAAAAGCUGAUUUUUGUAGAUUUACAGCCUCAUUGUCCCUCUAGAAAAAACACGUAAAAACCAAUGAAAUACAUUUAUACAAUAAUGCAUUAGUUUAAUCUUACUAUUGGAAAUUAAAAUGAUAAAUUUGAUCUUAAGAAAUAAUUGUCUUUCUCAAAUUUAUCGGUGGUUAAGCUAAUUUUUUGUUUGCUUCUUUGAACUUUGAAAACAUUUAGCGCAGUUAGCUUCCACCAAACUAAUUUUUCUGAGUAAAUUCUAAAGCGCUAGUAAACUUUAUUAAACUUAAAGUUGAAUAAACUUUGAUAUCUGCUGUAUUGUUUAUCGACUGCUAGGAAUUCUUCAAGUAGCUAGCCGGUUACAUUCAUGCUCUUAUUUUGAAACUGCUUAAACAGUUUCCUCUCCUCAUGUUCUCCACCUGUGAUGCGACACAGGAAUUUCCAGUUUUCUCUACCCAGAAUGCAUUUCUGUAAAACUACAGGCUGUAGUUUUGAAUGCGAAUCAGCAUAAUUGAAAUUAGCGCAUUAGCAUUAGCUUCUGCUAACUAACAUGUUGGUGUCCGCUAACACCUUAGCGUUAGCUAACUAACUUCUUAGUUAGCAGUGCCCACAACUUUUUUUAUUUAUUUUUGUAUCGCUUCUUAUGGCUGUUUUAGAGUCUUUGUUUUAUUUAAAUAUUUGGUUAAGAUAAAUUAACUUUGGGGGAUUCUCAAUUAAACUUUUUAGGCCAUCUAAAACAAAUUAAAGUAUAAAUAAACCAUUCUUCAGUCAUUUAGGUUUCUAUAGGGAUUUUUAGAGUUGUAAAUUUAUUUUUUGUUGCUACAGUAAAUGUUCUCAAACAAAGGGUUUGGAUUUUUCCAGAAACAUCAGUGUGAAAUAUGCUACUGCAUACAUAUUUACUUGAUAACACGUUAAUAAAUCAUCUCCUACAAUAAUACCUUUAGAGAGGCUCUUCCUCCAUAUUUAACGAGGACGUGUAAAAACGUCAGGUUUGCGUAGAUUCAUCGUGGCUCUCGCCUCAUUUAGCCGAUCACCUGUGAUUUUUCCAUCUUAUUUGUGUUGUUGGUUUAGUUGGAGCUCACCCUCUCGGAGCUUUGUGCCGUUUUCUCAUGUCUGUAAACCUCGGCCUCCCUCCUUCAUGUUGUGUUUUAUUUAAAUGUGUAACUCCCAGGUUAGUGAUCGGUAAGUGGCUGGAAGGUUUUCUUCACGCUCGGCCAGUGAUUUUGAUAUUUAGCAUCAAAAGAGGCUGAACCCGUGUGUUAUCCUGCUGUGUCCAUCUGAUUAUUUGUUUUCAAUAUUUCUAAUCUCAUCUCCAGCAGAAACAAAUGGUUUUCCAACAUUUUUGGUGUCAUAUUUCUUUCUAAGGAUUUAUUUAUGUUUCCUGCCACUACAUUCAUUCGUUUGACACUUUUUCUUGAACUUUAACCCUUUCUCCAUGAUAUUUGCUGCCACUUCUCCUCCUUCUCCUCCCUUUUUGCUAACAUCCUCGUAUUCUUUUGUCAUGAAAUGUGGAGAUGCCGUUAACCUUUUGUUGUCGUUAUUGGCUGUCUUUGCUGCUCAUUGACUUGUUCCUGGGACACAAUGACCUCCUCCUGCUCACCUCUCUCGUUCAUUUUGCAACCCCCCUCUUCUUCUCUUCAGCUACUAUUGAAGCUAUUGAGGCUGACGAAGCCAUCAAAGGCUUCUCCCCUCAGCACAAGAUCACCAGCUUCGAGGAGGCCAAGGGCCUGGACCGCAUCAA